AAGUGGCUCAUAUAUCUUUAUUGCAGUGUGCCUUCAGGACAGCGUCCUGGCCUUCUGGAAGCAUGGUAUGCAGGGAAAGAGCUUCAAGUCCAAUGAGGUGACUCAGGAGAUCUGUGACCCAAGCAGAGUUUUCCGCCUCCUGGGAUCCGACAGGGUUGUCGUUCUGGAGAGCCGACCAACAGACAACCCGACGGCUUUGAGCAACCUUUACAUUUUAGCCGGCCAUGAGAACAGUUACUGAUCCUCAGAAGCUCAACGGCUUCUUCUUGGAGAAGGAAAGAAGAUUCCACAGUUUUUGGGAGUUUUAGACCUACGUCUGAACUUUGUAAAGGGAAACAAUUACUGGGAGCUUAUAUGGAUUAAAACGGAUCCACCGGUCAGUAUACCAGGAGCUUCUUCAGUGCGGAUCCAUUAGUAGCCUUACAACAGCAGGAUGUUCAGCGUAGCACAACUUAACACAAGAAACAGGGAAACCGGCGGGAGCUGGAAGUGGAGAAACAAAUGUUACAGAGUACCUUACCGCUUUCUCUCUUCUCUGUACUGUGAACAAACUGUCUACAGGUAUUAUUGACUAAAGUGCCAUUAAAAUUCACACCCAUGGUGAUUGUAUUAGAAGCAUUGGGAGAUCAAAUAGUUUUUGUGGUUUUAACACGUCACACAUAAUCCUUAAUAGUGACAGAUACCAAAAGGCUCAAGAGAAAAUAUUACACACUUUGUAGCCAAAAGUCGAUAGGUUGGUUUUUAAGGAAACCCUUGAGCCUUGUAGGUUAUUUAAGCAAUAUUUAUUAACCUCAUCUUUAGUUCAUUGGGAAUGUUGGGUUUCCAGACGGUCAGAGUUUUACGCUGCAUCAGGAUUAACUACCUAGUGAACAGUCCCUGAUUAGCUGUGGGAUAUUUUUAUCGACGUGUGAUAUAGUUGCAUCUCCUGCUCUGUCGCAUUUUUUAGUACUUGGAUAAAAUGUAUGUUUUUUUUUUUUUUUCUUCACUCUUUUCUUUUAUAGUCGUUUUACUACUCUUGCACCAUUUAAGCACUUUUGUACAUUAUUUUUAUUUAAAAUAAAAUGACAGGGGGACAGUGCUAGGUUUUAAUAACAUCUCUGCAUUCCCUUCGCAAAAUGUUUAAUAUGUACUUUUUGUAAUAAA